rfam:Oryza rufipogon genomic scaffold, chr02
UGUUUGCUGUGAUGACAUCUACAAGGACGGUAUCUGAGUAAGGUGGCUCUUGAAAGAGUACUCCUUGCGUGAUUACAUCCAAAACUGAUCAGAGAUUCUGAGCAAACA